AAGUUUAUAACUCAGUUGGUUUAGAGCGUACGCCUGAUAAAUGUAAGGUCAGUAGUUCAAGUCUACUUAAGCUUA
rnacentral:tRNA from 1 species